AUUUUGUUUUGCGCUCCGUGCGGGGAUGUCUUGGGUGGUGAGCGUGACGCCAGGUCCUCAGGGAGGUCUGGGAACCUGGGGGAUGCAGGAAUGAGCAGGCGUGGAUCCGGACGACAGCUGUGCAGGAAGGGAGGGUGAGGGGCUUGCUCUCAGGUUGCCAGUCCUUUUGCUCUGAUGCCAGAAGGGAGUCUGCAGCAAGAUAUCUUCAAGGUUUUGAUGAUGUUACUGAGAGCAAGAGGAACUUGUAAUAAUUAUUUAUUUUUUUCCCUUCCCUGCUCAUUCUUGAGACUGGGAUGCUGUUUGAAUCCAGAGUCAAGGAUGCUUGAGGAAGGCAGGCACUGUGUUAUCCUGAAGCAGAUUCCUUGAGAACAGUAACUAAUAUGAAAUGAUAGUGAUUCCCUCUGACAGCAUGGAGCUGUCUCCCCACUCCAGGACUCCCACAUGUCCUUCCCCCUGUCCCCCAGGACAGCUCUUCAGAGAGUUCUGUCCUCUGGACCGAGCCGAGGAAACAGGCAUCAGGGACCAGACCAGUGCUGGGAAAGCGGGACGCAGCUGGCUCCCAGGAUUCAUGGGAAUGUUGGAUCUUUCACCUCUGCCGUCUUCUCUCCCUCCUUCUUCAAGCACUGAGGGGUUCUCAGGGAACAUGAGAGGGAAUCUGAGCAAGAGACAGACCUCAAGGGAAGCGGAGUUUUCUCGACAAUCAGGAAUAAUGGAAGUUGAAUCUUGGAUUAAUUGUCUGAAUCUUUUGAAAAAUUACUGUUUCAUUUACUCAUCUGAAAAUCAUGAAAUUCUACAUUCUCUUGAGGGUGUGAGUCAAAUAGGCAGAAUGAAGUGGGUCAAACUGUCUGGAUUUCUUGGGAAGAGAGGGCUGAGGAGGGCCUUCUUUCUGAAGACUCAGUUCCAUGGGGGGAGGGAGAACCCCAAUUUCACAG
ensembl:lncRNA